CUGCCCGGGUUAACCGGGAGGAAGGUGGGGAUGACGUCAAAUCAUCAUGCCCCUUAUGUCUAGGGCUACACACGUGCUACAAUGGUCGGUACAAUGAGAUGCAACCUCGCGAGAGUGAGCAAAACUAUAAAAUCGAUCUCAGUUCGGAUUGUAGGCUGAAACUCGCCUACAUGAAGCUGGAGUUGCUAGUAAUCGCGAAUCAGAAUGUCGCGGUGAAUACGUUCCCGGGCCUUGUACACACCGCCCGUCACACCAUGAGAGUUGGCAAUACCCAAAGUUCGUGAGCUAACGCGUAAGGGAGGCAGCGACCUAAGGUAGGGUCAGCGAUUGGGGUGAAGUCGUAACAAGGUAGCCGUAGGAGAA
rnacentral:rRNA from 1 species